rnacentral:rRNA from 1 species
AGUACAGUGGCGUACGGGUGAGUAACACGUGGGUAAUCUACCUCUUAGUGAGGAAUAACCCUGGGAAACCGGGGCUAAUACCGCAUAAGCCUGAGAAGGGAAAGCAGAAAUGCGCUGAGAGAGGAGCCCGCGGCCGAUUAGCUAGUUGGUAGGGUAAUGGCCUACCAAGGCUUUGAUCGGUAGCCGGCCUGAGAGGGCACACGGCCACACUGGCACUGAAACACGGGCCAG